GCUUGGCGGCGUGCUAUACAUGCAAGUCGAGCGGACAGAAGGGAGCUUGCUCCCGGAUGUUAGCGGCGGACGGGUGAGUAACACGUGGGUAACCUGCCUGUAAGACUGGGAUAACUCCGGGAAACCGGAGCUAAUACCGGAUAGUUCCUUGAACCGCAUGGUUCAAGGAUGAAAGACGGUUUCGGCUGUCACUUACAGAUGGACCCGCGGCGCAUUAGCUAGUUGGUGGGGUAAUGGCUCACCAAGGCGACGAUGCGUAGCCGACCUGAGAGGGUGAUCGGCCACACUGGGACUGAGACACGGCCCAGACUCCUACGGGAGGCAGCAGUAGGGAAUCUUCCGCAAUGGACGAAAGUCUGACGGAGCAACGCCGCGUGAGUGAUGAAGGUUUUCGGAUCGUAAAGCUCUGUUGUUAGGGAAGAACAAGUGCGAGAGUAACUGCUCGCACCUUGACGGUACCUAACCAGAAAGCCACGGCUAACUACGUGCCAGCAGCCGCGGUAAUACGUAGGUGGCAAGCGUUGUCCGGAAUUAUUGGGCGUAAAGGGCUCGCAGGCGGUUUCUUAAGUCUGAUGUGAAAGCCCCCGGCUCAACCGGGGAGGGUCAUUGGAAACUGGGAAACUUGAGUGCAGAAGAGGAGAGUGGAAUUCCACGUGUAGCGGUGAAAUGCGUAGAGAUGUGGAGGAACACCAGUGGCGAAGGCGACUCUCUGGUCUGUAACUGACGCUGAGGAGCGAAAGCGUGGGGAGCGAACAGGAUUAGAUACCCUGGUAGUCCACGCCGUAAACGAUGAGUGCUAAGUGUUAGGGGGUUUCCGCCCCUUAGUGCUGCAGCUAACGCAUUAAGCACUCCGCCUGGGGAGUACGGUCGCAAGACUGAAACUCAAAGGAAUUGACGGGGGCCCGCACAAGCGGUGGAGCAUGUGGUUUAAUUCGAAGCAACGCGAGAACCUUACCGGUCUUGACAUCCUCUGACAACCCUAGAGAUAGGGCUUUCCCUUCGGGGACAGAGUGACAGUGGGUGCAUGGUUGUCGUCAGCUCGUGUCGUGGAGAUGUUGGGGUUAAGUCCCGCACGAGCGCACCCUGAUCUAGUGCAGCAUUCAGUUGGGCACCUCUAAGGUGACUGCGUGACAA
rnacentral:rRNA from 1 species